CCUGUUCCGCCAGGCGGGCGUGCGAACCACCCUGCAAACGUGGAGCGAGUGAAUCAUCCCUGAGAAAGGGGGGCUUCCCUCUCCUCUGUCGGAGGCUUUCUCCACGGCAGCCCCGGGCACGCUGCCACGCCGUGGACCCAUCGAGCCCCCGUUUUCAGAACCCAUCUGCCACCUCCCCCGCACCGUGGGAUUCGCCCCACUCGCCAAGUCCGGGUUUCUGCCGGGAAAUGUCACCAACGUGUUUCUCGCUUGGGAAAGGCAUCGGCCGUGAGUUUCCCUCCAGCCAGGAAGUCAGUCCUGCAAGAGAAGGCCCCACUGGGGCUUUUGCUCUAAGACAUUUCAAAAUGCCUGCACCUCGUGGGCUUUGCGGGACAGGGGCCACACGGCCUUGGCCCACGUGGCGACUAACACGUGCUUGGCUGGUGGAGACACGGCGGGUUGCAGUUGCCUCUGACGGGCGAAUGGCUGAGCGGAAAUGAAACCAGCUGUGUAUGGAAUUUAUUACCACGAGACCAGAAAGAGGCCUCACCUUACCAUGUGUUAUGUAUGACCUUUCCUUUUUCAGGCGAUGCAGCCGAAAUCCUAAGGGGUGCACGGUCGCGUCCUGCUGCAAGCGAUGGAACGUAGAAAGAUGUCAGACGGAGUGAGCACACAAGGUCCCUUGACCAAAAGCUAAACCAACGGACAUUCAGUUUUGAAGGGUCACGGGACCUGCCGCUCCAAAAUAUGCCACCGGAGGAUAGCCGUUGUUUCGAGCCGCAGGCGCUUGAACAACAGCAAAGGCAAGGAAAGGCCUUCUCUGAACUCUCAUCUGCCUAAAGACGCAUCCUCCAGGAGCAAGUCAGUUGGCACAAAUUUCUCCCCAGGAAGUUCAUCCCCCAAGGAAGGUGGAGUCUUGUUCCAGGGGAGGACACUGUAGGCGGACCUCACACCCAGGCAAUCUCCAUCCCAAACCACCUUUUCCAGAAAUCAUUUACUCUCCCCUAAGAGGCCUGCCUCCUCCCUCCCCUUUUCCCUGUUAAGGUGGUAUUUAAGCCUAAAUUGUAAGCCGCCUCUCUGAAUUACUCAUUUUCCCUGGGUGUCUCACAUUUAUGUAUGAGGGCUACAUGUUACUGAUAAACUUGUUUUUCUCUUGUU